CUUUUUAGACAUAGUGUCUCCAUUUCCUAGUCGCCUUUUUGCCAGCAUUAGGGCUCCAAUCCCUGAGUUGAGCCUUGUAGACAUAGGGCCUCCAUUCCCUAGUCGCCUCUUUUGCCAACAUUAGGGCUCUAAUCCCUGAGUUGAGCCUUUUUAGACAUAGAGCCUCCAUUUCCUAGUCGCCUUUCGCCAACAUUAAGGCUCUAAUCCCUGGGUUGAGCCUUUGAGACAUAGAACCUCCAUUCUCUAGUCGCCUUUUUUCCAACAUUAGGGCUCCAAUCCUUUAGGUGAGCUUUUUAGAUAUAGGGCCUCCAUUCCCUAGUCGUAUUUCGCCAACAUUAGGGCUCCAAUCCCUGAGUUGAGCCUUUUAGACAUAGGGCCUCCAUUCCCUAGUCUCCUUUUUGCCAUCAUUAGGGCUCCAAUCCCUGAGUAUAGCAUUUUAGACAUAGGGCCUCCAUUCUCUGGUCGCCUUUUUUGCCAACAUUAGGGCUCCAAUCCCUGAGUUGAGACUUUUUAGACAAAGGACCUACAUUCCCUAGUCGUCUCUUUUUCCAAUAUUAGGGCUCAAAUCCUUGAGGUGAGCCUUUUUAGACAUAGGGCCUCCAUUCCCUAGUUGCCUUUUUUGCCAACAAUAAGGCUCCAAUCCCUGUGUUGAGCCUUUUAGAUAUAGGGCCUUCAUUCCCUAGUCGCCUUUUUGCCAACAUUAGAGCUCAAA
rnacentral:lncRNA from 1 species